rnacentral:rRNA from 1 species
CCUCGAAUCAGGUGGGACUACCCGCUGAACUUAAGCAUAUCAAUAAGCGGAGGAAAAGAAACUAACAAGGAUUCCCCUAGUAACGGCGAGUGAAGCGGGAUGAGCUCAAAUUUAAAAUCUGAUAGUCUUUGGCUGUCCGAGUUGUAAUCUAGAGAAGUGUUUUCCGCGUUGGACCAUGUACAAGUUUCCUGGAACGGAACGUCAUAGAGGGUGAGAAUCCCGUCCUUGACAUGGACUACCAGUGCUUUGUGAUACACUCUCAACGAGUCGAGUUGUUUGGGAUUGCAGCUCAAAAUGGGAGGUAAAUUCCUUCUAAAGCUAAAUAUUGGCGAGAGACCGAUAGCGAACAAGUACCGUGAGGGAAGGAUGAAAAGCACUUUGGAAAGAGAGUUAAACAGUACGUGAAAUUGUUAAAAGGGAAACGAUUGAAGUCAGUCGCGUUUACUUGGACUCAGCCUUACCUCGGUUUGGUGCAUUUCCUUGUGAACGGGCCAGCGUCAAUGUUGUCCGUUGGAAAAGGGUUGGAGAAAUGUGGCUCUUUCGGGAGUGUUAUAGUCUCUGAUCGUAUACAACGGCUGAUAUUGAGUGGUACAGCAUGCUUCGGCGGUGCUUGUGCUGGCAUAAU